UACGGAGGGGGCUAGCGUUGUUCGGAAUUACUGGGCGUAAAGGGUUUGUAGGUGGCCAACUAAGUCAGACGUGAAAUCCCUCGGCUUAACCGGGGAACUGCGUCUGAUACUGGAUGGCUUGAGUGUGGGAGAGGGAUGCGGAAUUCCAGGUGUAGCGGUGAAAUGCGUAGAUAUCUGGAGGAACACCGGUGGCGAAGGCGGCAUCCUGGACCACGACUGACGCUGAGUGAGCGAAAGCCAGGGGAGCAAACGGG
rnacentral:rRNA from 1 species